rnacentral:rRNA from 1 species
CCUACCCCUUGGGUUUCGGGACAACAGCGGGAAACUGUCUGCUAAUACCGGAUGUAGUCGUAGCAAUACGAGAAAAGGCCCGCAAGGGUCGCCAGAGGACGGGUCCGCGUCCCAUCAGCUAGUUGGUGAGGUAAUGGCUCACCAAGGCGAAGACGGGUAGCUGGUCUGAGAGGAUGAUCAGCCACACUGGAACUGAGACACGGUCCAGACUCCUACGGGAGGCAGCAGUGGGGAAUAUUGCGCAAUGGGCGAAAGCCUGACGCAGCCACGCCGCGUGAGCGAUGAAGGUCUUCGGAUCGUAAAGCUCUGUGGGGGGAGAAGAAGAAAGUCGGUGAAGAGCCGGCCCUGACGGUAUCCCCUUAGCAAGCACCGGCUAACUCCGUGCCAGCAGCCGCGGUAAUACGGAGGUGCAAACGUUGCUCGGAAUCAUUGGGCGUAAAGCGCGCGUAGGCGGCUGAACAAGUUGGAUGUGAAAGCCCUGGGCUCAACCUAGGAUGUGCAUUCAAAACUG